GCUUUUUCUUCGCCAUGUGGCCUGGUUCAGCCGCAUUUUUGUCCAAAAAUCAGAUACGUUGAUGUGGCAGUGCAAAUUGUGCAAAAAAGUGGUGUCAUCACGAGCUCUGUUAUUAAAACACUACAGGUUAGUUCAUAGUAGACAGCAGUAUCCAUGUGCCUAUUCUGAUUGUGUCUGUGUUUUCAAAACAUGGAAUGCUCUACAUAGCCACUUAAGCAGAUCACAUACCCAAAGAACUCUAGACAAGUCUGUGAGUUUGGCAACAUUUAACUGCCAUUUGUGUUCCUGCUGCAACAUAGCUUCAGAGCAGGAGUAUUUUUCUCACAUUAACAACCAUCUAAAAUGUAACGAGACUGUGCAUUGCAUGUUUGAGGGUUGUUCUUUCAAAACAAAUAUCUAUGGUACAUUCAAGUCUCAUCGAAAUAGGAAACACAAUCCUUAUACCUUAAAAGACUUUAAAAUCGGUAUUGCUAACACUAUUGUAGGCCAAACAUCAGCUGAUGACAGUACAGACACUAUUGUAGAAGAGGACAUAAGUGCAAAUAUUGA
ensembl:lncRNA